rnacentral:misc_RNA from 1 species
AAGUCGUAACAAGGUUUCCGUAGGUGAACCUGCGGAAGGAUCAUUAACACGUAUCCAACGUUAAACCCCCCUGUGAACCUUCAUUGUGCUCCCCCAUUCCGUUAGGACGCGGCAAUCCCUGGUAAAUCAUCGCCGAACAGUUUUGAUUCAGGGACCUCUGCAUGGAGUGGGCUUGCAGCGCGAGGCAAGUGGCCUGGCAUUCCUCUGCUUGUUGGUGUCUGAAAGUGUCACUAACUCUGUAAGAAUGGCGCAGUAACGAUCGCUAGAGGCCGACACGGCCGGCGACCGGGUCACCGGGCUCACGCCCCCCUAUCACCUUUGCAUGAAAACGGGCCUGCGCUUAAUUGUGCGGCCACCAACUCGAACAACUGUUAACAAUGGAUAUCUUGGUUCUC